rnacentral:rRNA from 1 species
GACAUGGCUCAGGAUGAACGCUGGCGGCGUGCUUAACACAUGCAAGUCGAACGGGAAACAUUUUAUUGAAGCUUCGGCAGAUUUAGCUUGUUUCUAGUGGCGGACGGGUGAGUAACGCGUGGGUAACCUGCCUUAUACUGGGGGAUAACAGCCAGAAAUGGCUGCUAAUACCGCAUAAGCGCACAGAACCGCAUGGUCCGGUGUGAAAAACUCCGGUGGUAUAAGAUGGACCCGCGUUGGAUUAG